rnacentral:rRNA from 1 species
GGUUAAGCGACUAAGCGUACACGGUGGAUGCCCUGGCAGUCAGAGGCGAUGAAGGACGUGCUAAUCUGCGAAAAGCGUCGGUAAGGUGAUAUGAACCGUUAUAACCGGCGAUGUCCGAAUGGGGAAACCCAGUGCAAUUCGUUGCACUAUCGUUAACUGAAUACAUAGGUUAACGAGGCGAACCGGGGGAACUGAAACAUCUAAGUACCCCGAGGAAAAGAAAUCAACCGAGAUUCCCCCAGUAGCGGCGAGCGAACGGGGAGCAGCCCAGAGUCUGAAUCAGCUUGUGUGUUAGUGGAACGGUCUGGAAAGUCCGACGGUACAGGGUGAUAGUCCCGUACACCAAAAUGCACAGGCUGUGAACUCGAAGAGUAGGGCGGGACACGUGGUAUCCUGUCUGAAUAUGGGGGGACCAUCCUCCAAGGCUAAAUACUCCUGACUGACCGAUAGUGAACCAGUACCGUGAGGGAAAGGCGAAAAGAACCCCGGCGAGGGGAGUGAAAAAGAACCUGAAACCGUGUACGUACAAGCAGUGGGAGCACCUUCGGGUGUGACUGCGUACCUUUUGUAUAAUGGGUCAGCGACUUAUAUUCUGUAGCAAGGUUAACCGUAUAGGGGAGCCGCAGGGAAACCGAGUCUUAACUGGGCGUUAAGUUGCAGGGUAUAGACCCGAAACCCGGUGAUCUAGCCAUGGGCAGGUUGAAGGUUGGGUAACACUAACUGGAGGACCGAACCGACUAAUGUUGAAAAAUUAGCGGAUGACUUGUGGCUGGGGGUGAAAGGCCAAUCAAACCGGGAGAUAGCUGGUUCUCCCCGAAAGCUAUUUAGGUAGCGCCUCGUGAACUCAUCUUCGGGGUAGAGCACUGUUUCGGCUAGGGGGUCAUCCCGACUUACCAACCCGAUGCAAACUACGAAUACCGAAGAAUGUUAUCACGGGAGACACACGGCGGGUGCUAACGUCCGUCGUGAAGAGGGAAACAACCCAGACCGCCAGCUAAGGUCCCAAAGUCAUGGUUAAGUGGGAAACGAUGUGGGAAGGCACAGACAGCCAGGAUGUUGGCUUAGAAGCAGCCAUCAUUUAAAGAAAGCGUAAUAGCUCACUGGUCGAGUCGGCCUGCGCGGAAGAUGUAACGGGGCUAAACCAUGCACCGAAGCUGCGGCAGCGACACUAUGUGUUGUUGGGUAGGGGAGCGUUCUGUAAGCCUGCGAAGGUGACCUGUGAGGGUUGCUGGAGGUAUCAGAAGUGCGAAUGCUGACAUAAGUAACGAUAAAGCGGGUGAAAAGCCCGCUCGCCGGAAGACCAAGGGUUCCUGUCCAACGUUAAUCGGGGCAGGGUGAGUCGACCCCUAAGGCGAGGCCGAAAGGCGUAGUCGAUGGGAAACAGGUUAAUAUUCCUGUACUUGGUGUUACUGCGAAGGGGGACGGAGAAGGCUAUGUUAGCCGGGCGACGGUUGUCCCGGUUUAAGCAUGUAGGCUGGUUAUCCAGGCAAAUCCGGAUAAUCAAGGCUGAGGUGUGAUGACGAGGCACUACGGUGCUGAAGUAACAAAUGCCCUGCUUCCAGGAAAAGCCUCUAAGCAUCAGGUAACAUCAAAUCGUACCCCAAACCGACACAGGUGGUCAGGUAGAGAAUACCAAGGCGCUUGAGAGAACUCGGGUGAAGGAACUAGGCAAAAUGGUGCCGUAACUUCGGGAGAAGGCACGCUGGUGUGUAGGUGAAGUCCCUGCGGAUGGAGCUGAGACCAGUCGAAGAUACCAGCUGGCUGCAACUGUUUAUUAAAAACACAGCACUGUGCAAACACGAAAGUGGACGUAUACGGUGUGACGCCUGCCCGGUGCCGGAAGGUUAAUUGAUGGGGUUAUCCGUAAGGAGAAGCUCUUGAUCGAAGCCCCGGUAAACGGCGGCCGUAACUAUAACGGUCCUAAGGUAGCGAAAUUCCUUGUCGGGUAAGUUCCGACCUGCACGAAUGGCGUAAUGAUGGCCAGGCUGUCUCCACCCGAGACUCAGUGAAAUUGAACUCGCUGUGAAGAUGCAGUGUACCCGCGGCAAGACGGAAAGACCCCGUGAACCUUUACUAUAGCUUGACACUGAACAUUGAGCCUUGAUGUGUAGGAUAGGUGGGAGGCUUUGAAGCGUGGACGCCAGUCUGCGUGGAGCCAACCUUGAAAUACCACCCUUUAAUGUUUGAUGUUCUAACGUUGGCCCCUGACCGGGGUUGCGGACAGUGUCUGGUGGGUAGUUUGACUGGGGCGGUCUCCUCCCAAAGCGUAACGGAGGAGCACGAAGGUUAGCUAAUCCUGGUCGGACAUCAGGAGGUUAGUGCAAUGGCAUAAGCUAGCUUGACUGCGAGCGUGACGGCGCGAGCAGGUGCGAAAGCAGGUCAUAGUGAUCCGGUGGUUCUGAAUGGAAGGGCCAUCGCUCAACGGAUAAAAGGUACUCCGGGGAUAACAGGCUGAUACCGCCCAAGAGUUCAUAUCGACGGCGGUGUUUGGCACCUCGAUGUCGGCUCAUCACAUCCUGGGGCUGAAGUAGGUCCCAAGGGUAUGGCUGUUCGCCAUUUAAAGUGGUACGCGAGCUGGGUUUAGAACGUCGUGAGACAGUUCGGUCCCUAUCUGCCGUGGGCGCUGGAGAAUUGAGGGGGCUGCUCCUAGUACGAGAGGACCGGAGUGGACGCAUCACUGGUGUUCGGGUUGUCAUGCCAAUGGCACUGCCCGGUAGCUAAAUGCGGAAGAGAUAAGUGCUGAAAGCAUCUAAGCACGAAACUUGCCCCGAGAUGAGUUCUCCCUGAGACUUUAAGUCUCCUGAAGGAACGUUAAAGACGAUGACGUUGAUAGGCCGGGUGUGUAAGCGCAGCGAUGCGUUGAGCUAACCGGUACUAAUGAACCGUGAGGCUUAACCUU